GACGAAUGCUGGCUGCGUGCUUAACACAUGCAAGUCGAACGGUGAAGGAGAGCUUGCUCUCCGGAUCAGUGGCAAACGGGUGAGUAACACGUGGGCAACCUGCCCCUCACUCUGGGAUAACGCCGGGAAACCGGCGCUAAUACCGGAUACGACCAGGCGCGACAUCUCGCCUGGUGGAAAGAAUUUCGGUGAGGGAUGGGCCCGCGGCCGAUCAGCUUGUUGGUGGGGUAACGGCCCACCAAGGCGACGACGGGUAGCCGGCCUGAGAGGGCGACCGGCCACACUGGGACUGAGACACGGCCCAGACUCCUACGGGAGGCAGCAGUGGGGAAUAUUGCGCAAUGGGCGAAAGCCUGACGCAGCGACGCAGCGUGAGGGACGACGGCCUUCGGGUUGUAAACCUCUUUCAGCGGGGACGAAGCGAAAGUGACGGUACCCGCAGAAGAAGCACCGGCUAACUACGUGCCAGCAGCCGCAGUAAAAC
rnacentral:rRNA from 1 species